CUAGGCCUCUGAAGAUUGAACACCUGUGUGUGCGCUAGGAGCUUCAAAACUUAUGGUAUCACAGUGGCAGCCCAUGAAGUCUUCAGCCAAAAUCCAUCACUGCCAUCUCAUGAUGUUUUUAAGUUAUCGAGAGGGCCACUCCGCAAGAAGCUGGUGGUGAGGCUACCUGUCAUUUUUUGGUCUGAGGACAAAGCAGCAAACUAAAGAGAUUCUCAAAGUUCAGCUCCUAGCAGAUUUUAAGGACCUGGUGUCAUAUGGUUGAUACUUUCCAUUCUC